rnacentral:rRNA from 1 species
GACGAACGCUGGCGGCGUGCUUAACACAUGCAAGUCGAACGGAAAGGCCCAGCUUGCUGGGUACUCGAGUGGCGAACGGGUGAGUAACACGUGGGUGAUCUGCCCUGCACUCUGGGAUAAGCCUGGGAAACUGGGUCUAAUACCGGAUAUGACCAACUGUCGCAUGGUGGUUGGUGGAAAGCUUUUGCGGUGUGGGAUGGGCGCGCGGCCUAUCAGCUUGUUGGUGGGGUAAUGGCCUACCAAGGCGACGACGGGUAGCCGACCUGAGAGGGUGAUCGGCCACACUGGGACUGAGACACGGCCCAGACUCCUACGGGAGGCAGCAGUGGGGAAUAUUGCACAAUGGGCGCAAGCCUGAUGCAGCGACGCCGCGUGAGGGAUGACGGCCUUCGGGUUGUAAACCUCUUUCACCAGGGACGAAGCGUGAGUGACGGUACCUGGAGAAGAAGCACCGGCCAACUACGUG